GGGUUGUGGAGCAAUGGGUCAGUGUGUCUGGCUAUUAACCAGAAGAUUGGUGGUUUGAGCCCGCCUAAGGACA
rnacentral:tRNA from 1 species